AUGCAGCCCAUAUUCGCCUGUUUUUAGUACUCAUUUGAAUAAAAUAGACAAUUGCUGUUGUAACUGAUAUUUAGUUCACUCAAGCCUGGAUGGAAUAAAUUGGCGUUACUCCAGACAGUGGAGCAAAUUGCCCUAAUGCUACCUCUCUGCAGUGAUUUGAAAUAUCGUUUUCACUACAUAGGAAAUUUCCCUUAGUCUUAUAGUUUUAUUAAUACACCUACUCUCUUCUAAUUUUUUUGUUUUAAUUGCUUUGGAAGAACCAUACACUUUCUAAGGGAUAUUAGUGCUGUAUAUGCAACAAAUGAGAACACUAAGAAGGGUGUUUUAUCAGCUAUGUUUCCUGUUGAUCCUGUGAAAGAAAAUUAUGUUCAUAAAGUGGAAAACUGUAUUUUUUCAACCUCCUUCUCAACUCCUUUCAAAUCAAGAGUAUGUCUUGUAGCAGUUUCAAAAGUUAGGCAUUAUUUUUUCACCACACAAAUACUUAACUCACUAAAAUAUUUGUUUAAAAUAAUUUUUAGAGUUAAUA
rnacentral:lncRNA from 10 species